UGAAUACGAGACGCUAAGGCGUCGAAGUAGUGUAUGUCAUACUUCCAAGAAAAGCUUCACUGUCAUAAGUAAAAAAUGCCUGUACCAUAACCGACACAGGUGGGUAGGUAGAGUAUACUAAGGGGCGCGAGAUAACUCUCUCUAAGGAACUCGGCAAAAUAACUCCGUAACUUCGGGAGAAGGAGUACCUUAUUCUAUAAGGUUGCAAUAACAAGAUCCAAGCAACUGUUUAUCAAAAACACAGGUCUCCGCUAAGUCGUAAGACGAUGUAUGGGGGCUGACGCCUGCCCAGUGCCAGAAGGUUAAAGAAGUCGGUUAGCAUUAGCGAAGCUGGUAACUGAAGCCCUGGUGAACGGCGGCCGUAACAAUAACGGUCCUAAGGUAGCGAAAUUCCUUGUCGGGUAAGUUCCGACCCGCACGAAAGGCGUAAUGAUUUGGAUACUGUCUCGGAGAGGGGCUCGGUGAAAUAGACUUGUCUGUGAAGAUGCGGACUACCUGCACCAGGACAGAAAGACCCUAUGAAGCUUUACUGUAACUUGAAAUUGAAAUUGGACUUUAUUCGGGAUUAUUGGAGCCAUCAGUGAGAUACCACUCUUGUAAUGUUAGAUUUCUAACUUUGAAUCAUUAUCUGGUCAAAGGACAGUUUCAGGCGGGCAGUUUGACUGGGGCGGUCGCCUCCCAAACGGUAACGGAGGCGUACAAAGGUUUCCUCUGAACGGGUAGAAAUCGUAUCUAGAGUGUAAAGGCAUAAGGAAGCUUGACUGUGAGACCUACAAGUCGAACAGGGACGAAAGUCGGUCUUAGUGAUCUGACGGUACUGAGUGGAAAGGCCGUCACUCAACGGAUAAAAGUUACUCUAGGAUAACAGGCUGAUCUCCCCCAAGAGUUCACAUCGACGGGGAGGUUUGGCACCUCGAUGUCGGCUCAUCGCAUCCUGGGGCGGUAGUACGUCCCAAGGGUUGGGCUGUUCGCCCAUGAAAGCGGUACGCGAGCUGGGUUCAGAACGUCGUGAGACAGUUCGGUCCAUAUCCGGUGUAGGCGUUAGAAUAUUGAGAGGAGCCUUCUUUAGUACGAGAGGACCGAGAAGGACAUACCUCUGGUGUACCAGUUAUCGUGCCAACGGUAAACGCUGGGUAGCUAUGUAUGGAGUGGAUAACCGCUGAAAGCAUCUAAGUGGGAAGCCCACCUCAAGAUAAGUAUUCUCAUC
rnacentral:rRNA from 1 species